UACGUAGGGGGCUAGCGUUGUCCGGAAUCAUUGGGCGUAAAGCGCGCGUAGGCGGCCAACUAAGUCCGACGUGAAAUCCCAAAGCUUAACUUUGGAACUGCGUCGGAUACUGGAUGGCUUGAAUUCGGGAGAGGGAUGCAGAAUUCCAGGUGUAGCGGUGAAAUGCGUAGAUAUCUGGAGGAAUACCGGUGGCGAAGGCGGCAGUCCUGGACCGACAUUGACGCUGAGGAGCGAAAGCUAGGGGAGCAACGGGG
rnacentral:rRNA from 1 species